GAUGAACGCUGGCGGCGUGCCUAAUACAUGCAGGUCGAGCGAACAGACGAGGAGCUUGCUCCUCUGACGUUAGCGGCGGACGGGUGAGUAACACGUGGAUAACCUACCUAUAAGACUGGGAUAACUUCGGGAAACCGGAGCUAAUACCGGAUAAUAUAUUGAACCGCAUGGUUCAAUAGUGAAAGACGGUUUUGCUGUCACUUAUAGAUGGAUCCGCGCCGCAUUAGCUAGUUGGUAAGGUAACGGCUUACCAAGGCGACGAUGCGUAGCCGACCUGAGAGGGUGAUCGGCCACACUGGAGCUGAGACGCGGUCCAGACUCCUACGGGAGGCAGCAGUAGGGAAUCUUCCGCAAUGGGCGAAAGCCUGACGGAGCAACGCCGCGUGAGUGAUGAAGGUCUUCGGAUCGUAAAACUCUGUUAUUAGGGAAGAACAAAUGUGUAAGUAACUAUGCACGUCUUGACGGUACCUAAUCAGAAAGCCACGGCUAACUACGUG
rnacentral:rRNA from 1 species